UCAUGACUGUACCUUCUAUUGCCUGUAGGGCUGGCACUAGAAUUUUAGGUCAUCAUAAAUUAAAAUUCAAUUUUCUUCACUCAGAGAAUAUUAGAGUAAAGGAUUAUCAUUUUAUUCUCUGAAAUUUGGGGAAUCAAACAUUU